AGAAGUGUUCAGUACAUUUGCAAAAUGGCAGAGCAUACACAUGCAGCACCUCAGCACUUCUCGUUUUGUUACUCUUUAAUGAGUUUACCGUUAGUUCUGUGGCUUUACUUUUUAUUGUGGCCACAUACCCACAAGCAUACACACAUAGAGUUGGCACAAACUGCUCACCAUCUGUUUAGUGCCUGAUAAUAUUAGACCAAGAUAUUCCUCCGGAGCUUAUCAGACUGUUGGGGUCUCCAUCUUCAUUAUCCCAGCCAACAGGCGACAGAGGUGGUGGAAGCAGAUUGCUGAACAAGGAUACGAGCUAGGCUAGGCAGAGCCUCACAUGAGCUCCCACUAUGCAACCUCUUUGUCAUGAAUGUAUGUUCUGUUUCCAACAAGACUGAGGAACUGCAACCUACUAUCUCAACGAAGAAAAACGUCCAGGAUUACUGUGUUAUGGCAUUCACAGAGACGUGGCUCAACCCAUGCAUACCAGUGGAGGCUAUUGCUGCCUAGUACAUUGAGUGGACAAGAUGACGGACACCGGCUUAGUCCUCAGAAGAAGCCAUUCAUCUAUCUUCUUCCACUUAUCUGAGCCUAUCAAGCUCUCAUAAAAAUCCAUGCCGCCAGGAUGGGAGAGGUGAGGAGGCUUGGAGAACAUCAGUGCCGAAUCAGAAACACUGUGUGCAUAAACAAUAAAGAAAAAGCAAUCAG